rnacentral:rRNA from 1 species
AGGAAAGCCCGGAGAUGGUACUGAGACACGGACCCAGGCCCUAUGGGGCGCAGCAGGCGAGAAACCUUAGCAAUGUGCGAAAGCACGACUGGGUCAGUCCGAGUGAUUUCUGAUAAAGGAGUCUUUUGCCCGUCCUAAAAGCACGGGCGAAUAAGGGGUGGGCAAGUCUGGUGUCAGCCGCCGCGGUAAUACCAGCACCUCGAGUGGUCAGGACGAUUAUUGGGCCUAAAGCAUCCGUAGCUGGUCUUGCAAGUCUCCGGUUAAAUCCACCUGCUCAACAGAUGGGCCGCUGGAGAUACUACAAGACUAGGGAGUGGGAGAGGUAGACGGUACUCGGGGGGUAGGGGUAAAAUCCUCUGAUCCUUUGAAGACCACCAGUGGCGAAGGCGGUCUACCAGAACACGUUCGACAGUGAGGGAUGAAAGCUGGGGGAGCAAACCGGAUUAGAUACCCGGGUAGUCCCAGCUGUAAACGAUGCAGACUCGGUGAUGCAUUGGCUUCUUGCCAAUGCAGUGCCGCAGGGAAGCCGUUAAGUCUGCCGCCUGGGAAGUACGGUCGCAAGAUUGAAACUUAAAGGAAUUGGCGGGGGAGCACCACAAGGGGUGAAGCCUGCGGUUCAAUUGGAUCAAC